rnacentral:rRNA from 1 species
GACGAACGCUGGCGGAAUGCUUUACACAUGCAAGUCGAACGGCAGCACGGGUGCUUGCACCUGGUGGCGAGUGGCGAACGGGUGAGUAAUAUAUCGGAACGUAUCCAAUAAUGGGGGAUAACUAGCCGAAAGGUUAGCUAAUACCGCAUACGCCCUGCGGGGGAAAGCUGGGGAUCGUAAGACCUAGCGUUGAUGGAGCGGCCGAUAUCUGAUUAGCUAGUUGGUGGGGUAAGAGCCUACCAAGGCGACGAUCAGUAGCUGGUCUGAGAGGACGACCAGCCACACUGGAACUGAGACACGGUCCAGACUCCUACGGGAGGCAGCAGUGGGGAAUUUUGGACAAUGGGGGCAACCCUGAUCCAGCCAUUCCGCGUGAGUGAAGAAGGCCUUCGGGUUGUAAAGCUCUUUCGCAAGGGAAGAAAACUCGAUCUCUAAUAUAGGUUGAGGCUGACGGUACCUUGAUAAGAAGCACCGGCUAACUACGUGCCAGCCGCCGCCGUAA